rnacentral:rRNA from 1 species
CGGACGGGUGAGUAACGCGUGGGUAACCUGCCUUGUACAGGGGGAUAACAGUUGGAAACGGCUGCUAAUACCGCAUAAGCGCACGGCAUCGCAUGAUGCAGUGUGAAAAACUCCGGUGGUAUAAGAUGGACCCGCGUUGGAUUAGCCAGUUGGUGAGGUAACGGCCCACCAAGGCGACGAUCCAUAGCCGACCUGAGAGGGUGACCGGCCACAUUGGGACUGAGACACGGCCCAA